rnacentral:rRNA from 1 species
GAGUAACGCGUGGGAAUCUACCGUGCCCUACGGAAUAGCUCCGGGAAACUGGAAUUAAUACCGUAUACGCCCUUCGGGGGAAAGAUUUAUCGGGGUAUGAUGAGCCCGCGUUGGAUUAGCUAGUUGGUGGGGUAAAGGCCUACCAAGGCGACGAUCCAUAGCUGGUCUGAGAGGAUGAUCAGCCACAUUGGGACUGAGACACGGCCCAAACUCCUACGGGAGGCAGCAGUGGGGAAUAUUGGACAAUGGGCGCAAGCCUGAUCCAGCCAUGCCGCGUGAGUGAUGAAGGUCUUAGGAUUGUAAAGCUCUUUCACCGGAGAAGAUAAUGACGGUAUCCGGAGAAGAAGCCCCGGCUAACUUCGUGCCAGCAGCCGCGGUAAUACGAAGGGGGCUAGCGUUGUUCGGAAUUACUGGGCGUAAAGCGCACGUAGGCGGAUAUUUAAGUCAGGGGUGAAAUCCCGCAGCUCAACUGCGGAACUGCCUUUGAUACUGGGUAUCUUGAGUAUGGAAGAGGUUAGUGGAAUUGCGAGUGUAGAGGUGAAAUUCGUAGAUAUUCGCAGGAACACCAGUGGCGAAGGCGGCUAACUGGUCCAUAACUGACGCUGAGGUGCGAAAGCGU